UACGGAGGGGGCGAGCGUUGUCCGAAGUUACUGGGCGUAAAGCGCGCGUAGGCGGGUUGCUAAGUCCGCUGUGAAAGCCCGAGGCUUAACCUCGGAGGGUCGGUGGAUACUGGCAGUCUUGAAGGUGGUAGGGAGAGAUGGAAUUACCGGUGUAGCGGUGAAAUGCGUAGAGAUCGGUAGGAACACCAGUGGCGAAGGCGAAUCUCUGGACAGUUACUGACACUGAGGCACGAAGGCCAGGGGAGCAAACGGG
rnacentral:rRNA from 1 species